UACGUAGGGGGCAAGCGUUGUCCGGAAUCAUUGGGCGUAAAGCGCGUGUAGGCGGCUCAGUAAGUCCGCUCUGAAAGCCCGGGGCUCAACCCCGGGAGGCGGGUGGAUACUGCUGAGCUUGAGUCCGGAAGAGGAGAGUGGGAAUUCCUGGUGUAGCGGUGAAAUGCGCAGAUAUCAGGAAGAACACCCGUGGCUAAGGCGGCUCUCUAGUACGGUACUGACGCUGAGACGCGAAAGCGUGGGGAGCGAACAGG
rnacentral:rRNA from 1 species